CAGUAGCCACGGGAAUACGUAGGUGGCAAGCGUUGUCCGGAAUUAUUGGGCGUAAAGGGCUCGCAGGCGGUUUCUUAAGUCUGAUGUGAAAGCCCCCGGCUCAACCGGGGAGGGUCAUUGGAAACUGGGAAACUUGAGUGCAGAAGAGGAGAGUGGAAUUCCACGUGUAGCGGUGAAAUGCGUAGAGAUGUGGAGGAACACCAGUGGCGAAGGCGACUCUCUGGUCUGUAACUGACGCUGAGGAGCGGAAGCGUGGGGAGCGAACAGGAUUAGAUACCCGCGUAGUCCCUGUCUCUUAUAC
rnacentral:rRNA from 1 species